GUUGAUGAUUAUAUCAACGCAAGUGUUAUAGAGGGUCUACACAGUCAUUAUCCAUACUACAUCGUAACACAGUAUCCACUGAUAACCACUCAAAACGAUUUUUGGAGGAUGGUUUGGAAACAAAGAGUCUCUUCUAUUAUAAAUCUAGUAUCAAAUACCGAGAAGGAAGUGUAUUUCCCAACAAAAACGGGUCUUUGCAAGACAUAUGGAAAGAUCAAGGUUCAAGUUCUUUCAUCGUUGACAGUUAAUAGAUGUACAUUUCGGUGCAUGAAAAUUACAAAGGGAUCCAUGAGUCAUACGGUGAACCAUUUUCAAGCUUCUUUUCUAUCCGAAUUCACAACUAAUGAAUGCCAAGAUUUAAUUAAUCUCAUCACUCUUGUUCAUUCCAAUGCUGAGGGUGGAAAUGACAGCAGACCUUUUGUUAUUCACUGUCUAAAUGGAAGUGGGAAAUCUGGCGUCUUUGUUGCAAUGGACUACCUUAUCCAACUUAUCAAGAAUGGGGACACUCACGUGGAUAUUUUCAGCCUAGUCCACACACUUAUUUCCAAUCGAGAAAAAUUAAUAGAAAACGAAACCCAGUACAAAUUUUUAUUUGAGUGUGUUGGAUAUUAUCUGGAGCAAGGGAAAACUAAUCCCUCACAUAAAUUGACUGAGGAAAUAACUUCGGAGGAUGAGGAUACUGGACUGAUAGAAAUAUCACCGACAGAAACGAAAACUCAUUUCGCGAACAAGUUUUAAAAGAAAACCAUUCAUGAGAAGUUUCAAAUACAAAAAAAGAAGCAGAAGACAAAAUCCAAAAAGAAGUUUAUUCUAUAAAACACUUUGAGUGUGAAUUCCUGUUUAAUGUUGUGUUGUUUAAUAUACUUAGUUUCUUUGCUGUUAUUCUACCUACUAGCUUUAUAGCAUUGAGAAGUUUUUUAAAAGAAGAACAUUAUAUCACCAGAAUGUCAUUACAAGUUCCAUCUGCUUUUAAAUUCUGGUGCAUUUUGUUUAAAAAACGUGUAAAUAUAGUUGCAAAAGCAGUCUCGAUUUAUGUUUUUAAUAUGCUCAAUAGUAUUAAUAAUAUUUCCUUCAUUGCAUGUUUUGUGUUAAAUCCAGAAUUGUUUAUUGCUAUAUACGAAUUAUUUUUCGAAUACAUCAUUUUAUCAAUAUUUCGAUACUACUGUGCGUUUUAAUUCUUGGAUUUACUGUACAUUUUUUUUUACUUUAAAUAAUAUAUUUGAUUUAUAAUGCAUGAAGUAUUAACUUUUUGUAAGAAAAUGUAUAAAAUAUUAAUUUACUCGUAUGAGAAAUAAAAAAGAAUUACUU
rnacentral:misc_RNA from 1 species